rnacentral:lncRNA from 1 species
UGUUUGAGGGUCAUUUGGCACGGAUUCUGAUGCCUUUGUACAUCAGAAGCCAAAUUUGAUGACAAAUAGCGCCAAGAAACCAUUGAACUGUUUUUGUGGGAUUCGGCCUUUGAUUGGCUAAUUUGAUUUUUAAAAAAGAAAAGAAAUAUGCAUGCAUUUGUGAUGUCGAGCUUGAUAUGAAUUCGAACGAAAAGGCCAAGUGAACUGUUUUCAUCGAAUUCGGCAUUUGAAAUGCUAAUUUUGAUAUUAAAGUUGAGUCUUGCAUGCAUUUGAUAUAUUGAGGUUGAUACAAAUUCGAACAAGAAGGUCCCUUGUGGUGGACUGUUCUGACUUUGUGCAUUGCCACACUUCACACAUUGUAGAGUAUCCAACUGCUAGGAUAUAAGUCUCACAACCUGACACGGAUUUAGCCGGAUCAGAUUUUAAAAUAAUUCUAUAUAAAAGUAUUUAUCUCUUUCUUUUUUUUGAUAACUUUCAAACAGAGAUGAGAUUAUUGUCUACCUUUAAUUGCAAUGACAAAAGUCGAAUUUGUCUUUAGUUAAUUUGUGUUGUUUUUCAGGGAUCAUUAAGUGCCUUCCUGGAGUAAAAAAUGUAAAGGACAAUCCUGUCAUACAGUCACUAGAUGAGCUGAAGAACAUUGCUGACCAUUUGGUGGUGUCCAAGUCAGAUGAUCAGAGGGUUGUUACUGCUGAUAAGACUCUGGAUUUUGACAAGCUGGUUGUGCUUCUUGACAAACUAUACGACUUGUGCUCUGUUGAGGGAUCAGAUAAUGCUUCCAUUGCAACCAGGAAUGGAGGAGUGGAGCUCCUAACUUCUAUAUGUUCUUUGCUUCGUGUCAAAUUUGAGAUGCCUCUUCUUUCAGCUUUGAAAGCAAUGAGUUCCCUUCUCCACGGUAUGAGUGUGGUAUCUAACUUUCAGUCUGACGCUUAGAUGAAAAGAUUCACUGUUUCAUCUUUUGUUUUUUUCCCCUUUGACAUUCUGAUGUUAUUACGAAUGCUUCUUCUUCAGCAGCUACUCUUUUGAUAUAUCGAUCAGAGUCUUUUAUUUAUUUAUAUAUUUUUUUGCUCGGUGUUGAAAAUGACACUGUAGAUGAUCUGUAAUUAUCAAUGACGCCCCAAAUAACUCUCACUCUUUGAUCUAGCUCAUAAGAACAGAUCUAUCGUUGAAUAUAGUGUUAUUAAAUGUUUCCCAGAAAAAAUUGGUGAUGAAAAUCAUGUUACUGUAUAUUUCUUAGUAUAAAGGAACAAAGUAAUGUAGUUGUGGCUAUCUUAUUACCAUAUAAAAGUUUGCCACUGAGCAAUUAAUUCCACAGUUACAAUUUGGAUUUAGAUAUAAUCAUGGUCAUUACUUGUCAGGAAGGAAUGCACGGUUCAUCCUGAAGCGUCAAUUGUAUAUUACUAUGAUAGUUAGGAAUUAGUGUGAUUUCAUUUCCAAAUUGAUUGGAGUAAGGCCAGCAGUGUAUUUAGUUUAAUUUAAUUUUGGGGUAAGAGUUAUGAUUCAUGACUGAUUCUUUUUAUGUUAACUUGGUCUGCUACUUUCUUGCCAAAUAUAGAAGUAUGGGAAUGCACGAUUUGAUUCAUUUUGUCUCUGACAUUUAAAGUUUAUUGGUUUACAUUUAUUGUUGUCCGAGGAUUCAAAAGUUCUAUUAAUCUGGGAGAGCUUAACAAGGGAUACACAUUUAUUUCCUUAAAUAUAGACUUGACCAUAUUUCACUUGAUAUGACUUACCAAUCUGAUCUUACUGACUCGAGAAUUUCUGGUUGGGACUAAUAUUCAGAUGUUUAACUUGUAACUCUCUGAGCAUGCAUGGGCAUUAGAUGCUGGUCAAAAUUUGGUGAGCAAUGCAUUUUUACAUUUGGCUGUUAUUCACAGACUUUCAAAGCACGGAGACAUUUUGGCAUAGUGGUGGGCCUGCAAUUCUGAUGGAUAUCCUAAAUGGAAGUAAAAGUUCAAACGUUUUGGAUAGUGGUUUUGCUGUCAUUGCAGCGGCAUCAACAGGUAACGAAAUUCUCAAGGAAGCAUUCAUCGACUUAAAAGUUGAUGAGCUAUUUAUACAAACAAUGAGGGAGCAGGCUAAAGGCAGUAUGCAAAGCUUAUAUCAUGCCAUAUGUUCCCUUUUAACACCAGAUGACAACCGUGUUUUGGCUUCUCAAGUAAGUGUUUGAUUAACAUCGAUACUAUAGCAUACAUUAAUGUUCACCUCUUGUCUUUGUCAUUCCUUUUCUUUCUGAUAACUUGUUAAGCCUCAUAAUGUGUGAAGAUGAUUUUUUAUACUGCAAGAUGUAUAAGAUUGUUUCGGAUUAGGGGUGCAAUCGAGCCGAGCCAAAGCUAGUAGUUAGAGGCUCGAGCUCAACUUGAUUCAAAAUACUUAGGGUCGAAACUUAACUCAAGAUCGAUCGAGCAUUAAUAUCCAAGCUCGGACUUGGCUCAAUAAAAAAAAGCGAUACUCGAUUGAUUUGACUCGACCCGAAUAUCAACUGAGCAAUACUCGAGCUCGAGUUCGAGCCUUGAUCAUACUUAAAAAAAUAUGAUUAAAACAAAAUAUAAUAUAAUAUAAUAUUUUAAAUAUUAAAUUAGCAAUAUAUUAUAAAUAAAAUAUAAUAUUUUAAAAAAUAUGUAUUCUUGACUAGGCUUGUGAGUCUUUAAGCCAAGUAUUUUGCACUCGACCUCGAUUCGAAAAACUAUCCGAGCUACUCGAGUUUGACUCGAGCUCGGUAAUAGUCGAGUUAAGUCAAGUUUAAACCCGAGUCGAACUCGAGCAGCUCACAAGCUACUCGGCUCAUUUGCACCCCUAUUUUAGACCAGUGCUACAUGGAUAUUGACAUGAGUAUUGGAUUCAGGCUUAUUUCCAAGUGUCUGACUCAACAAGAAGGAGAAAGGCAGGUAUGGGGAUACACAGGAUAAAACAUAAUUUCAACUAAAUUAUAUAUUUAUACUUUUGAACAUUGUUUAAACAUUGAAAUAUUAAAAUUAUCAUGUUUGUUAAGAUCUUUCAACAUACAUGUUUCUCAUUCAAACAUCCUAAUUAACUUAAGGAUAUAAGAAGAAUAAUAUUUUGUAAACUUGUUUCAAUAAUUACAUCUUUAAAUCAUCUUAAAAAGAAGAUGAACUCACUCCUAACAUCAAAAUAGAGGAUCAAAUUCAUUGUUGAAAGAGUUCAUGCUUUUCCGAUCUCUAAGAGUGGCUAUAAUGGAACAUCAUAGGUAUCCAAGUGUCUGAUAUGUACCCAAGUUAGAUGCAUAUCCAACAUGGAUUUUUGAAGCUAGAUGUAAGUGUCCAGCUGACACAAUUUUUUGACUUCAGACUUUAUCCUUGUUACAUUUUUUGUGGUAUUCAGGUACUCAUUUUUCUCUAUUUUUUGGAGCAGAGAUAAUCAUUUUUCUGAACUAUUUUGAGACCACUUUAUAGAAAACAGGUUUAAAUCAAAGCUUGAUCCGGUAGGGAAAGAUAAUAAUAAACGUAUAUAGAAAUUACCUAGGGAUAGAAUACUGGAACAAUUAAGUUUAAAGAAAAGAAAGUAAUAUUUGCCAGAUUAACUCAAUGCAUUGUAAUGCAUUUUUUCUGCAUAUGUUCUGAUAGUUUAAGCAGUAACAGUAAAGAACUUCAAGCUUUGAGAAAAUGACUGCUAAGAGAGAUAUGAAUAUUAUGUUGUCCUAUUAAAAAGAGAACCAAAAAAAUUAUGUCUUUAAAGUUGACUACCACUCCCUUUCCAAAUCUCAUAGCCUCAAUAGGAAAAAAGUGGAGGUGAAUAUCAGCAAAUAAAGAAAAUGCCAAACUGUGAAACAAAUCCUUAUCUGCUAAUUGUUAGUGCCACCAUGUUCCUUAUGAAAAAAUACAGCGUAGAUGAUGUUUAUGCAAUUAACUGAGUAUUACGGACAACUAGAUUUGGAACUUGAGAAUGUUUCAUCCUGAUCAAUCUUUGGGAAACUUAUGAUCAGUUUCAUUCUUAUCAUUCUUUGGGAAACUUAUGAGCAGUCAGAAAAACAAGUGUUCUAAAACAUUCAACAGAUAAUUCAAUAUGAAUGUGUUCAAUUCUCCAUCUAAGUACAUCAGUGAACAUCCAGAGACACAUGUGGUCCUCACAUGAUAGCAAAUGUCAGAGAGAGCUCAAUUUAAUAAGAAUUUUCUUUAGGUGCUCACCUAUAUAAUCACUUGUUGGAUACGUGAAUUUGCUUGACUUCCUCAUAAUAGAGGUCAAAUGCUUCCUUAGCUGCAAAACCUAAAUAUUUGAUAUUUACUUUACUGGUCCUGGUUAAAGAGGAAUACCAAAGGAUUAAUCCAAAUAAAUUAAAUGUUUAUAAUUUGUAUCACAUGCACAAGCACACAUAUCUAUCCACUUGUUGUAUAGGUAACAGGCCUCCAAGAUAUGUGAUUUUUGGAUCCUAUGCAGUUUAGAUGUUGCAGAUUAUGAUCAAUAGUAUGAUUUUCAUUUUAAAAGGGCUAUCAUUAAUUUACAUGGGAAGCAUUUGGGAUCAAAUUGUUCAAAAAAGCAUUCUAUCUUUACUAUCUGUGUUUGCUUCAUAGUUACCAAGUGUUUAAGUAUUACUUUGUACAAAGGGUCAAAUUACCGUGUGAUGUGCCCACCCCCGGUCAUGGGCUAGCAUGGCACAAUACCAUAUUAAUCCAGUCAUGCACCCUACCAUAAAGAUCGCCAAGUUAAGACUAUAGUCACGAACUCACGAUAUAAAUUAUUGAAGAUGAGGGAUCCAAAAAUUCUUUCGAAACACUGAUAUUAACAAAAAUGUAUUUGUUUAUAUGGAAAAGUAAUUAUUAAAUAUUAUUUAAUAGAAGAUUCAUUUAAAAUUGUUCCAUGUAUGUCAUGGUGUUUGUCAAAAAAUAAUUGUUGAUUAACUCUUCUACACAAACAAACACAACAAGCAUAUUCAUUUUAAAAAGGUUUUGUGAGUGGUGUCAAUUAUUUUUCUUUUAUAUUUAUUGGAAUGGAAAUAAAUGUUAUAUGAUGAGUGUCUGUAUACAUUAAAUUCUUCAUUGUUAAAUUCAAGCAUGAUCAAAAUAUGAUGUACAAAGAUAAGCAUGACCAUAAUGAUGAAAGCAUUUCAAUCAUCAGUUGUGUCUGGUGUUAUCUUCUUUUUUAAGCAGACAAAUAGUGAAAUUUUCAAUUCCAUGCACUUGUGGAAUUAAUAAGAGGGAAAUCUUGUGAAUGUUUAGUCUUUGCGGAUGUCAAUUUCUUGCAUUAAGGUCUAUAAAAAGUACCCUUAAACAACCAUUUGUUCUAAGUUGUCAAAAGGUACAAGUACAGCAUAUUUUCUGUAUGUUAAAUUUACAUUAUUAUUUCGAGGCCUUAAAAAAAAGAUUGGUACUUUUCUUGCUUCAUUGAUUAUUAUAUCUAAUCUAAUUCUUUAAAUUAUUUAUCUUUUCCGCCUUUCUCUUUAGUUAUAAAAUUGUUAAUGAUUUGCUAAACAAUAUUGAAACGAGGUUGUGAAGAUUCUGCAUUUUAAUUUAUUUCCUUAGAAAUAGAGAAGCAUAAUAUCUUCAUAGAAUUAGAAUUAACUAAGGAAUUUGAAAGCCAGGUCUAUGGAUAUGCUCGAAGAUUUGCUCAAAUUGGUAUUGCAGAUGCUCUUGUUGAUGCACUUCGUGAGGGAAUCAGUUCAUCCAGUUUGGCUUCAGCAUGCUCUGCUUUAAAGGCUCUUGCUGUUAAUGUAAGUUUGCUAGUCUCAUGAAAAGAUAAAUUCAAACAUCCAUGCAUUCAUAUAUCUCAGUCACUUUAAUAGCUACUUGAACAUCUUUGUGGAUGUGCCAAUGUGGCAAAUCUUGUAAGGUAGAUGAUGCAACUAGGACACAGUGAUAAACAAAUAGAUAGAAAAGUACUUAUAAAGCAUAAUGGGUUAUGAAAAUAGCAUAGUCUAUGCUUUCCAUAGUAGCAUUUCCAUCCACAAACUCCAUUUAGUCGUAAGUCAAAUCAAUAGAUUAUAAUGCCUUCUCCGUACAAUACUAUGGACAUCAUAAACUCCAAAAAUCAAUCACUCUUCAUUGGAAUGUUAAAAAAAGCCCUCGCCCUCAUCCCUAAAGGUAUUAGUUAAGCAUUCAAGAAUAUCCAGUACAUAUCUCGAGCCUUUUAAAAAUGUUAAAGAACAAAUAUAUUUAAAAAGGCAUCCAUAACAUAUCCUAGAAGUAUCUUUUAUGGACCAACUACUGAUAGCAUUCAUAUAACAUAUACAUAGCAUGAUAUAUUAUAUGACAAUGUUUUAAAAGAUUUAAGUGGCGGAAGGGAGGGCAGGCAGCACCUAGGGGCCAAGUAGGUGUCCACGUAUCAAGGCAGCCCAAAAAUAAUUAAUUAUAAAAAAUAAAUAUCAGGAGAAAUGUUUUAAAAAAAUCAAAACCAAGUAGAUGAAACAUAUCAUACAAGAUGUAGUAAGCGAAUGGGAAGUACCAGCUUGGCAACAAUGAUAAUAGUGUGUAAAUUCACAUCAUCCUCCAUAGACAUACUUGAUGCAAAAUGUUGAGGUGUGCGCCUAAUUAGGCUGUCUAGGCAGUUAAAUCUGUCAACUAGGAAGCAAAGGCAGCUAUCUUGUUAUGCAGAUUAAACUGUAUUUUCACAGUUUUACAUGCAUGAAAUAAUAGAAUGGAUUAGCAGAUCAACAUAAAAAAACAAACUAUGCUUAGUGAUAUGUCAUGUCUUGGACAGUCCAUACAGGUCAUAUUUGAGUGCUAGGUUAUCUACUCACCCACUAACUUUUAGCGUUCGAGACUAGAGAGUCAGUAUGCUAGCCUAUAUGAAAUUGUAUACAUUAAAAUAUAGAAUUCCUGCCUGUUCGCAUUCUUUCAUUCGUUUUUACUAGUGUUUGACACUUGAUGCAUGUGAGAUGAAACAUGGAUGGCUUUGAUCUUAUCGUUGUUGUAACUUGAUAAUAUGCACUCCCAUUUUGCUUGGUGCACUUACCAUGUUUUUGGACCUUAAAAGAGCAAGGAUUGAGCCAAUAGUAUUGUAUUAACCUAUUAAAAGGAGCAGUUAUAGUCAAAAUACCCAUUAGAAAAUUAAAUCUGACCUCAUUCUUUUAAUUAAAGCUAACAUUAUUCUUUUUUUGUUGUGUGGGAGUUAUUCUUGCUUUUCUGAUGCAUUAAUCAUCUGAGUGUUUCUAGCUUUUGUAGCUUUAAAAUAUCAUUUACGAAAAAACUAGAAAGAACCUGGAAAUUAGUAGUGAUAAAAUAGAUACAAAAUAGCCUCCAUUAGUUGGCCAUCUAAACCUUUGUUUUUCUAUCUAUGCCUUACAAAUGGAACUUCCAAAUGAUUGGUGCUUACCAUGAUAAUGAAAAUCUACUAAUAUAAAUUUGUUUAUUCUCGUCACAACUAGCCUGUCUUUUGUAACAUUCCCCAUAUAUUGUGCAUGACUUCCUGCCUUGUGGAACUUUUUGGUUACUUUGUUAUGAUCUCUUUUUUCCCUUAUAAAUGUAACUAUAAGCCUAACAAUGAAGCCUUGUCCUAGCUGUUUGACGUUAGCUUUAUCAGUACUUGUUACCCAUCAUCAAUCUAUGGCGAUCUUUUUCCCCCUUGCAGGAUGAAAUUUGCAAAUCUAUAUCUGAAAAUGGUGGCAUUGAUGCAACUCUCAAGUGUAUAGAUGACAGCAGUGAACAUAACGACAAGAUUAUAGCUAGAGCAUGUUGUUCUUUGAUGUCUAAGGUCAGAUGCCCUUGCUUCAUAAUUAACUCCGCUUAUUAAUGUCGAUUGCAUCUUCUAAUAUGCAACGAUACUAACUUAUAAUGAUUUUUUUCUGAUCGAAGCUGGCCGGAAGUGAUGCAAACAAGAAUGCUAUUGUUCAGAAGGGUGGUCUGGAUAGAUUAAUGAAACUAUCUUCCAGAUUUUCUGAAGAUCCAUCAGUUCUACAGGAGGUACUCUUUUAGUAUUACGUCUAUUGAAAAUUGAUCAAUUUAAGUAGUUCUUAACCAUGUAAUUUCUAUUGAUCAUGCUCCCUGUCCUUGAUACUAACGAUGGAAUUCUUAAUAUGCAGGUUAUGUCUAUUGUAACUGUGCUUUCACUAAGAUCCCCAGAGAAUGCAGCUCGUGCAAUAGAAGCUGGAGCUGGAGAUUUAGCUAUCCAAGCAAUGAAGAAGUUUCCUGCUUCAUAUCAAAUGCAAAGACAAUCUUGUCUUAUGAUUCGCAAUCUUGUGGUUAGGAAUCCAGAAAACAGGUAUGCUUUCAUUUUUUGAGAAACGUUAAUGCCACAUGUGACCAACAAAUUUUGAAUAAAUUUGUAUCCCAUCAUGAGCAGAACACCUUAUUCAUCUGAACUAAUUAGUUAUUUUUUGGAUUGGAGUAUUCUAACUUGAGCAAUUAGAUGUUCCUAGUACCUGUUUAGAAGUUCUUGUUGGGGUCAAUACUAAAUCCAGUAGUGUGGGUAAAAAAAUGUGGACACUCCAAACAAGGGAUACCAAAUGCUGGAGAGGUUCAUUGAAAAGACUUAAUAUUAUCCUUUAGCUAUCACAUUCUCCAAGGAUGCCAAGCUUCUUUUGGCUAAUUAGAGGAAUGAUUGCAACUUUGUAAGCGUCGUACCAAUCCUUGUAUGAAUGCUAUUCAGAUUUGAAAAGGAAAUGACCUAUAUUUUUUCAAAAAAUUCCUUAAAAAAGUGGGCCCUUGAAAAUUAGGUGAGCAAUUUCUUUAUUAUCGGGUGAAUUGCUUUCUGUAGCUUUCCUUGGAAUGAGGCAUCAACAAUCUGAAAUUUACACAUCAAAGAACGGGCUUCGACUCUACAGAAGAUCGUUUAUUAGGUGACAGAGUCCUAGUGGGUUAUGAAACCUUCACACCGAAUGGGAGUGAUGGGCGUAAUGUUUGUUGGACCUAUAAUAAGCACUUCAUGACUAAAGAGAAAAUUAGGUUGAUUAGUUUUGUUUCAUUUGAUAAUUUUAAUUCCACCAUUUUAUGGUAGUUGCUUUUGCCUUAGGUCAUGCAAAAGCCUCUUCUCUGCACUUUUAAGAUAAUUUUACUGUUUUGGGCAUCUAUAGGACCCUUCUCCUUGGUAAUGGCAUUGAGAAGCUCAUAAGGAAGGCCAAGGGAAGCCACGAGAUUUGCAAGGAUGCUGCAACUGCUGCACUGAGGGAUCUGGGUCUGAAUGACUACAAUGCAUAACCUGCAUCCGUUAGCAUGUCAGAUUACAAUGUUUUUUCUUCUUUUGCCCUUUACUCAAAUAUGCCAUACUGGAACUGGUGGCUUCAUUGUUAUGAACAAUGCAUCUUGAGUUCUUUAGAUCAAUUGGCUGCAUUCUGGUAUCAUUCCUUUUCAUAUUAAGAAAGCACAAUAUUUCCUUGGUACUUUCUUAAGAAAGAGUGGUUUUUGUAAACUGUAAGAACACCAUUUGAAGGACAGUCAGAUUUGGGGGAAAUUGAAACAUCAUUGUUUCACUACUUGAUUUAGUUUUGAAGAGAUUUUCCAUCCAAUUUAUAUAUCACAAAAGCCAAUAACUAUUAGCUCGGUUGGCACCUCUUCCCUGAGGGCUUGGCCCUUGGAGGAGAUCCAGCAUUAUAUUGCUCAAAAAAAAAAUCAAAAAAUGUAUGCAAACUAUCCUAAAAAUUAUUGAUGGCAUUUGGCAGUUACAUUAUAUCUUUUAUUAAAACUUGGUGGUUUAGGUUCCAUUGAAAGGUUGAUAAUGUUUUCUGGUUUCACAUGGACCAGACUGAUUCUCUACAAGCGAUCUGCACUUCUGAUUACAUAAGAACAGUUUCCUUCAAACAAAACAAACAUAAUUAAUGGCAGAAGAUAGACAUUGUUAGUUAUGUUGAAUGACAGUGUUGCUUGGUGAUAAGUUUAUACAUUGUCUUUUAUCUAUAUUUAUGAUUUUUUUGCACACUGAUUUUUCUUUGAGAAAAACAAUUAGAGACCUACGAAACUGUAUCUUGCAGGUUCCUUGCAUUACUGACAACAGUUGGGACAUCAUUAACUGCAGUAAUACAAGUCACUAUUUUCUUGUUAUUCAUCUUUGGGGAAAAAUUGACAUUCCCAUUGCAUUUACUUAUUCUCUUAUAGUUCUGCACGUUAUAUGUAUAUAAUAUUAUAUUAUGAUGUUGAUGAUAUAUAGCUAUGAUACUUUAGACUAUAAGCUAUUGUAAUGUCAUCCAAUAAUUAUACAAUUAAAAUUAUACUAAUAUUAUAUUAUGUCAAUAAACUAUAUCAUAUGCAAUAUAAUACUUUUAUAUUGGCAUUAUAUACAAUCAUAUGAUAUAAUACAAUUAAUACAUUAUAUUAUAUAUUAAAUAGUAAUAUAUAAUAAUUUUUAAUAAAAUAAUAUUAUUUAUUAUAGAUGUUUAAAGAGGAGAGAAAUGGUCAUGAUAACAAGUGGUGUCCAUGUUUUUUCUAGCCCCAUCCUUCAGGGCCUCUGUCGUGUUUUGCAUUUUGAUUAUUCAUAUCCAUAUCGGUUUAUUAAAAUAAAAAAAAAAAGGAGAAGAUGUUUUCUCAAUAUAUAUACCCAAGCAAAUAACAUGUAACUGAUAGGCCUUUUGUGAGGAGGGGUCCACAAUAAGAGAUAAUUAUUUUGCUUUUUAUUUUUUUCAAAGAAAGGAUGGGACACUUAUCUAUCUAUAUUAUAAUUAUCCAAGCCUAAAUAUUUGAAGAUGCAUCACUCAACACUCACUAAGAACCCUGCACGGCCCAGUUUGCAAGUCGUCAAGCACAUUUGCAUCAACCUUUACCCUAAUGAAACAAAGUUUACAGCAAAAGGUCAAACUCUGACAGUCAAUUACUUACUUCGAAGGCUACCCAUAAACAAUUAACUUAGAGCUAAGAACACAUACCUAGAAAGCUGACUUGCAACCUAUCCCAAGCUUUCACCGACAUUGCUGCCACUGAAGCCAUAGUUAACCAUUAUAAUAAUUUCGGUGGCCAAAAUUUGCCUCCCGAAGUAGUAUUUCAGACCUUCACUAUCAAAAUAAAAACUUUUUAUGGCUGCUAUUAAAUAACAACAUUGUAACGAAAAAAUAACAGGCCAUGAUAGGAAAGUAGUGUUAUUCCAUUCACUAAUUAUUGAAUAAAAUAUUAUUUUUAAUAUAAUAUAAUCUAUUUUGGAUUGAAAUUUGAUGUAGAAAAACAUGAACUUUGAAAAAGAAUAGUACUUAAUUUAGAUAAAGAGACGAGUGAAAUAAAAGCUACCAUUGGCAUUCCAACAAUCUGUUAUAAUACUGAAUAAUAUAUUAUAAUAGUGGUUAUUUUUCUAUAUAUAUAUAUCCACAUGAUAUAUAGGAUAGAGUUCAUAAGAGUGUAAUUUUUUAUUUCUAGACAUUUCAGUAUGUAAUUUAUUUCUAUAAAUCAGAACUUAGGAUAAAACAAAUUUGCUUCAUAUAAUGAUAAGAAAUAAAUAAUGAUGAUGAUCACUUAGGAUAUAAGAAAGCUACAAAAAGAGGAUGAGCAAGAACAAACAUGAAGCAUAUAAUAAAUUAUAUGAUAGACCAGACUAAAAUGCAAGCUACUGCCAUCUCGCAAGUUUCAAGUCCCCAUUACAAUCACGAACAUGUAACAUCUUUACUUGAACCAUAACGACAGGGUUGACAUGCAAGUGACAGGAUUGAAGCUCAAAAAGUCGCCCCCAAACUUCAGUUGCAAGAAUCCUUUUGAGUUCACAAAGCGCAGGAUAUGAAAGCAGUAACAGAAAUCAAUGGACACCAAAUCUCAACAUCAACAAAGCAAAUAUAAAUCAGAACUUGCAAAAUUAUCUGAUAGACACAAUGUGCGGUGAAAAGGGCGAUGGACUACCCCGAAAAGCACCAUCUUUAGAACAGCCCAAAAAGAGCAGAGAAAAAACCACAAAGCAACCUAAAUGGACCUGACUGCAAAGGCGGUAGAAAUAUGCCAGGACCAAGAAAAACCAAAUAAUUCAGGACCAUAAAUAUGCCAUACAAAAUUAUAAAAGCUAAGCUCUGAGGAUGCACCAAACCCAGCCAAAUGAGAUUUAUAAAUCCGCCAGCAACAUAAAGGAUUAACAAAAAGGGUGAGAUAGAUAAGUUGAAGGAAUGAGUAAAUGUCCAGAAUAAACAAUCAAGUUCAACAAAAGUACGAAAGUUUUGUUUUUUGUGCAGAACCUAAUGGAAUAUUUGAAAUGGCAAAGUCUAAGCAUCCCUCAUCUAAACAGCCUAUUACUACAAAGUCUUGAUGCAGCUCCAACUAAUUUUAAGAAAAAAUGGUUCAAGCUUUUUCCUUUUUCUGUAUAUAUCCAUCUCAAGGGAUCUGGAUUUUUUUCUUCAGUCCCAAUUAUAUACCUGCAGAUAAGAGCGCGCGCAACAAAAAAAAAAAAAGUUAUAAUGAACAAAAAAAAAGUCUAGUCAGAUCAUUUUAUGCAAAGCAACUAUAAUGAAUAAACAACAAAUACCUGAACCUUCCUAUGCUGAAUGAAGACCUGCUAUAUUUUGCCCACUUGCCAAAAGAUUUCAUGUAAAUUUUUUAGAGCUGAAUUUCCUUCAGCAAUGUUUGUCCUGCAAAGAAGAAAACACCCAAAGACAUAAAGUCAGCUACUGCAAAUAUAUUACCAUUAUAUUUAUGCUUUCUUCAAAGGUUUUCACUAUUGCAAGUGUUAAUAAUCAUUGUUUGAGAAUAUAGACACUUCUCUUAAAGUUAAAGAACCAAGACAUCACAACCUCAUUAUUUGCAUCUGAUUUUACUGAGACUUGGAACAUUCUGGAAUAAGCCUUUCGCUCUUGAUCCCGCCUAUCAGCAAUCUGUCAACAGUUUUAACUCAUCAAAUCAUGCCUAGAACUAAAGUAUACUUGAAUGAAGUGCACUUGAUCGUUCUCACCUUCUUCUUUGCAGCAGCAAGCUCUUUUUUUAUGCCUCCUAAUAAAUACCGCAAACCAAUCAACAACUUACCAAUUGCAUGUAUAAAACUGAAAGAAAGUAAACAAACUAAGGAAAAGCCACUAACCAUCAUUUGGCUCUAACUCUAGUGCUUUCUUGAAACUUUCGACUGCAGCAUCCACAUCAUUAAGUGACACGUGUGCCUGAUCAGUUUACAAGGUAAUAACUUAGGCCAUCCAUGACUUGCAAACAAACAAAAAAUGAAGUCUCUUGUAUCUAACUACAUGUACAUGUAAAUCUAGAUAUCAUGUCAGUAUACAUUCUAUCAUUGUUAAAUGCAUGAAUGGCUGCAUCAUAUACGACAAAUAUCCCAGCAACAGUAGAGAUCUGGUAUGAAUCAGGAUCCAAACCAAGGAAAAACCACUACGCAUCGGGUUGCAUUGGGACUUAUCCGGUUCAGGUCCAGGCCAAAUUUUAGUGUGAGCCAACCCAAGAUUCUCUCUUGCAAAUAUCAGGUCAUUUUAUCAUGGCAAAAUAAGAUGUUAACUUACCUGCAGAGUUCAGCUACUUGAAAAACAUUUAUUCUUAGAUUACAAUAGAAGUUUCAUGCAAUACUUCAGCCAAACCAUAAAGCCAUUCCAGAAAUUCUUUUGUGAAAAAUAUAAUAAGUAGAAAUAAGCAAUCCAUAUCUUAGGUGCAACUUGCAUUAUAGUUAACAAGGUGGCAUCUAAAGAUGUCCAAAACUCCUGCAUAGCUAUCUUUCCCAUGAAGUAGAAAAUAUUUUUUUUAUUCACUAGAAAGAUGAUAUAGUAUAACAAUAACUGGUUCUGAAUAUUCUGCAGAAUAAGGCUCGGACUACCAAAACAAUCUGAGACUGGAGAACGAUAUCAUAUCUUUAAUAUAAAUAGUGGUCAUCAGAUGGAAGAUAAUAACCUGGCCUUGGCGGUAAUAUGCUUUGGCAUUGCCCUCUCUUUCACGCAAUGCAAAGUCAGCAUCUAAUAGGGCGCUUUUGGGAUCUCCUACUUUCAAUUUGCAAGCCUAAAACACAGAGUUCAAGAAAAUAAAAGCAAUUAGUUAAAACUAAACUUGUGAAACUUAUAUAGUUACCAAGAAGCCCCAUAAACAAAAUCCACACUUCCUCAAUAGAAUGCAAUUUGCUGCAAUUAGUCAAAAAGACAAAUAUUUAGUUAGAAUAAUAAAAUGUGCACUUCAAGCUGUUCAACUAAGCAGCUUAGUUAUAUUGGUCAUCAAUCUCCUGGUAGAACAUGGUGAACAAUCUAAGACCAGAUGCUAUGCAAGCAAAGGUGCAGCGCAGUAGCAUUCCCACGUCCUGCUAUGAAUCAAACCAAAGAAAACAUUAAUAUCAACUUCAAGUUAAUGGCCCUUACUAAGGUGUUCCUUACCUAUCAUAAUUGGGCCACCUUGCCAAUUGUAUUCAAAAGGACCUUCCAAAAUAACUUCCUAAACAUCAUCUGCGGUAGCUCUUUCGCUCUAAAAGAUAAAUAUUUCCUAUAAAAUCCGGGAGGGGAUUGCAGAUCAGCUGGUGUUGUUGGCAUUGGCAAGAGCCAGAACUUGCCAGGCUAGCUACGUAGAAACAGGAUAGGGACAGAUGUUAUUGAGGAGCUGUUUUGUAGUUUAUGUGCUUCAGUUUCUACAGGACCAAAUUAGUUAGCAUACUGUGGAGUUAAUCAAAUAAUGACAGCCUCCACCUUGGCACACAAAACUUCAUCACAACAUGAUGCAGUUGCAAGAUCAGAAGAAGGUAAGAAAUGUCUACAAGGACAGGAAAAUCGUAGCAUGCUGGUAGGCCAAUCAUGCUUGCAAUCUUAAUGUCCCCUUGUGUUGAAACAGGUGCAAUGUCAAUGGACCUUUCUCCUAGUUUAUUGGUAUUAACUUAUGAUGAAAACUAUAAUCUUUGUGCAUUGAUCAUAAAGCCAUAGAACACUCUAUUCCACAUACACACACACAAAUACCGAAAUUAAAAAUACACAAAUAAAUAAAUACCUAGAAUCUAAUAAUGAAGUUGCACAUUGACUUUAAAGAUGCAAAAAGGAUAAAGGAUGUGCCAUUGGUAGACUAGGUUGAAUGUUAGAAGAGUUACAGUACCAGUCACAUCAAGUUUAUACUUAAAACAACCUGAAUCCCAAUAUAGAAACCCCUCUCAUAUUCUCCUCUCAGACACAGCCUCCUCAAUGCACACUCUCCUCUAGAAUUGAGCACUGAGCACCAGGAAGCAAUUUGUGGAUAAUGCCUGACAGACAGUGGAUCAGUGAAAAUGAUGAACCGAGGCAGCAUGCCUGGGUUCUCUCCCUCUCCCUCUAUUUUGUUAAUCUAUCUGGAGUAGGGUUAGCCUAAUAUUCAUUUGCAAGUAAUGAAUGAACUAAUGAGUUGGCUCAGAGGUUAGAGUUGGUUUCAGGUGAGUCCAGCCGAACCCAAACUGAAAUCAGUCCCAACAUAUGUUGAGUAAACCAGAGAUGAAGUAUUAAAGGAUGGAAAUAAAAGAUGCACCACACAUGAUGUUAGAUUCCGAUGACAACUUACUUCAAUAUGUUUGGUAGAGAAUUCUUGCAGAAUUUAAAGGUAACUGACAUCCAAAAGAUAAUCAAGGAAACAAGAAAUCUAAAGCACGGAAACAGAAUGUAGAGAUGGAAACAAAAGGAUCUUGGAAGAUGCUAAAGAGAUAACAAUGAUGCAGAAGAAAGUUAAAAUAAGGUUGACUUUUUGGCUUUAAUUCUACAUGCUAAAUUUGCUAAAAACAAGAAAGGAAAUAAAAAAUACUUAACAAGAUCGAGUUCAAAAAACCAGAGAUACAAAUUAUAGUGCACGAAGAGUGAGAAAAAACAAUCUUGGUGAAAGUAGCUCAAUUAAGUAAAGAUGCACAUGUUACUUCAGUUUUCUUUUCUCUUUUUUUUUGGAGGGAAGUGACUUCACUUAUAUUUAUUCAAAGUGAGAAAGAACUUAUGACAGCUCGCUUAUUACACAAGCUUAGUUGACCAAAAACAAAGAAUUUCUAGUUUAAUGGCAAGAACAAAAAUCAGGAAACUUCUUUGUGUAUAGGAUAAGAUGGACAAAAUAUAUGAAGAAAGAAAUGCAAGGAGAUAGCAUCCUAAAGACAAUGCUACAAUGGAAAAUUUUGUGAACUAGUAAAAUCAUUCAUUGUUGUGAACACUUAGAGAAAGAACAGAAUAAAUGCUUCAUCACUAGAUUCACUGUCCCAGUGAAAAAAAAAACACACAUAAAAAAGAACAAAAUAUGUGCUUGUUACUAGCUCCCAGUAUCAAUGAAGUUCAAUCUACAAAAAGUGUGAACUUAUUCAUCUGAUGAAAUGGUUCUUUAACUCAAGAAUUGUUUGGUGAAUAAUGACCUAGAAACUUAGGAUUCCCAAAACAUUCAAAUCUUAUGUCUCUUUUCACGUAAUGGAUUGAACAAGAAUAUAUCACAUUAAUCUAAGCUGAGUAUUGGCAACCACAACUUAACAUCAACACUACAAUUUUUUCAAACCCAUGCAGGUUGAAACAGUGCCUACCUUCCAAUUGCUAUCCUAGAGUACAUGACAAUUCCCUCUUGCCCAUGGUAAGUGGUCAUGAAUUCAACAUUAGCUCACAAGACAUGAACUAUUAAUGCUACUUGCAGAGUAAAUCAUAUCAAACACUACACAGACUGAAUACUACUUGCUUAUUGAGGUUAAAGUCAAUAGACAUUAAGGAACUUAUUGAGAUUAAGCAAACAGUGGAUGUUUCAUUUUGAAUAAUCAAUUCAAAAAUUAUACAUAUAAGAAUAAAAAAAGAAACUGUCAAAACUACAAAAGCUUACAGAACUAUUUGUGAGUAUAAUUGAUUUUGUCUUCCGCAACAAUGAACUCUUCUCUGGGAAGCCACAAAAAGAUAGGGAGAAUGAGCAACCAAGCAACUGAGCAAGUGUGUGCAUGUGUGUGUGUGUGUGAGAGAGAGAGAGAGGGAGAAGGGGGGCAUAGAGAGAGAGAGAGUUUUAGUGCCAAAUAUAUGCUUGCCUUCAUCAAUCUCUUCUUUCUCCCAGCAAAUAUCCAAGUAGCGCAGAGCCUUACGAUACUUUCUAAGAGCCAUCUUAAAGUCAUGCUUCUGCUUGAAUCAAAAGAUUUUAAAUUUAAAAUGAGUAAUUUGAUAUCCAACAAAACAAAGUGGAAGAAGAUACAGAUAACUUUCAAUACUAACAUUCUUUUGAAACAUUACAAUGAUGACAUAGACAAUUGAAAGGCUAGUAAGAUGCAUAAAUAUCAAGGGGUAUGCAAUAAAAACACAUUAUAUUACUUUCGCAAUGGAAAACAAAUUAAAGCAAACCUGAUAAAACAAAAUUUAAAGCUAAACGUUCUACGUAAUCCAGUUGAAAUAUAAAUAUUAAAAUAAAUAAAAAUCAAGGUUUAUAACAAAAUUGACCUUGAAGUAAUCAUUUCCAAAAACCUUAGCAGAGUCCACAGCAUUUAUCCACCAUGAAAGCUCACUUGGCUUCUCAUCAAGGUCAUUGGGCCAAUCUGGAUACAUAUCACCAUCUUUGAAGAAAUUUGAAACUCCAUCAUCAGCCCCUUCAGAAAGCUCUCCACAAUCCGCAAUUAUUACAUCAAUGGUGGGAUAAUCACCAUCUCCAACAGGCGUAUGCUCAAUCGACCGAACGACUCCCAUACCCUUAACCACCUUCCCAAACACAACAUGCCUUCCAUCUAGAUGAGAUGUUCUAGUGGUAGUAAUAAAGAAUUGAGAGCCAUUGGUGUUGGAGCCAGAAUUUGCCAUUGAUAGCAUUCCUUUUCUUUCAUGUUUCAAUUCAAAGUUCUCAUCCUCAAAUUUUAGUCCAUAUAUGGAUUCUCCUCCAGUUCCAUCACCCGCGGUUGUAUCGCCACCUUGUAUCAUAAAACCUUUGAUAACACGAUGAAAACGUGUACCCUGAAGAAAAAAAGUUAAAAAUUACUAUAUACACCAACUUUUGUAUAGAUCAAAACAGCAGAAAGACAGUAAAGUUCAGUUAUAUGCAUUUUGUUUUUUUUUAAAUUAAUUUACAAUAGAUCAAGGUGAAAAAAAAACAAUGGAGAAAUGCAUGUUAACUCAGUUAAAUUUAUUAAAAGAAAUGAUUUGACUACUGAAUCACAAAAACUCUUUGAAUGAUAUUAAGAAUAUAAACAGUUUCACCUUCCAAUAGCAUGUAGGGAGUAAGUGAAAAAAAGUUGUGCAACAGUCAAAGUGCUGACUGAAAAAUGAGUUUCAAUAUGGUCAAACAUAAUGGAAAUAUAAUAGUAAAACAAGCAUAGAUACAACAAGCCUCAUAUCAUCAAUUAAGUAGACUCUACAUCAAAUUAGUUCCUAUUGAAGGCCAAAACCUAUAAAACAGUAAGUGGCUUCAAGACAUUUCUCAGUACCUCCAUCCAAGCCUCGCCAUUACAUAUCAAUAAUUUAUGUCAGCACAAUCUCUUCACUCAUGCAAGCGCUCCAAAAAAUAUCAGUGAAAAAAAUUUGAAGUUAACAGUUUUGAUCCUUAUCAAAUUGCUCUCUCACUCCACUACUAUGCAGUAUUAAAUGAAACACAACCAUGUGAAGCAUGUCAAAUCAAUAUGGCAAAAAUUCGUACAGAUUGUUUAAGAUGAUAAAGAACAUGAGAACAAUAGGUUGUACGCAAGAUUUGAGAGUGACGAGAUGACAUACCUAUAUAUUGGAUAUUGGGAGAAUGAUGAUUUUACAGGGCAUGCAUUCACCUAGCCUAUCAGAUAUUAAAGCCUAUGAAAAGAUCUGAAGCCUAACAGUAGAUUAAAGCCUCUCAUAUCUUCCAAUAAGGCAACUAACCAGCAGAUUAGCUGGCACAUGUAGGAAUUGCCUCCAACUGAAAAGAAAGUUCGGAACAGCAAUCACCAACCUAAGAAGUUAAAACAGGUGCAUGCUGACUUUUUGGGUGAAUUUGUCAUACGGUGCUGUUUUGUUUCGGUAUUCUAGGCCUUUUUUAUACAAAAAAAUGCAAUAACAGUUUGUUAUCAAUCAUAAAUUUUUGAAAAUUACUAAUAGUGGAAUGAAAUAAUGUAAUGAACUGAAGAAAAUCACACAUAAAAAUACAAGCUUCCUUAAACAUACACACACAAAAAAAAAAAACCGUCUUACCUUUUCUACUGUCUCGAAAUAUUAGUAUUCAAUUAAGAAGUUAGGUCACCGUAAGUAUAAUACAGUGCUUAUGUACCAGAAGCAUGUAUGGCUGUGGUGUUGAUGCCGGACAGCAGGGGAAGGAAGAAGAAUAAGAGAAGGAGAGAGGAGGAAGGAAGAGAAGAGAGAAAAGAGAGGAGGAGGAAAGAAACUAGGCUUCACACCUAACUCUUGCUCUUGGCUUCACAACAGAGCUGAAAGAAAGAGAAUCAUUUUUUUUAUUCAUAGCAUACCCUAAACAAUGUACGGUCCAACAUAUUUAUAAGACCCAGAAAAUACAAAAGACCCCAAAAAAAACUAGUCUUACAAAAGACCCUCAAAAUAACGAAAUACCAAAAAUAAACCCUAAAGGCUGUCAAAUAACGAAAUACCAAAAUAAGUCCUAAAGGCUGUCAAAUAACAAAAUAUCUUAAUAAGCCCAAAUAACAUAAAAUCACUCCAAAAUAAAAUCAAACUGACUGGACUAUCCUCCUGCGGCGACUAUAGAUCCGAGUGACGGGCGAUCUGGCAUUGGCGUCCGCACUAGCUCCCCCUAGGUGGGAAGAAGUCAACCUCAACGAACACGACCCGAUGUAGCUUCGGUAGUACUCCAAUAGGCCCGGGUCAAUCCGCUGAAACUCCUCGCGCGUGAUCCAAGUGGAGUUGGACUCUGGUCAUCCUCGCGAACAAAUCAAGAAGCGCUGGAGGCUUCCAUAACUGGUAAAAACUGUUUGAUCGUCUAAAAUAGCAUCAAUAUGUUCUUUUUGUGCUCGUUGAAGGGACCAAGGAAUCGAAGCUAGUAUGGAAUCAAUAAUAGGGAAAUCAACAGGCUCAGGAGAGGGCUCGGCAAAAGGGUCAUCGGGGAUUGUUGGUGGGCCUUUAUAAGCAACCAAAUCUUCAACAUUAAAAGUCGGGCUAAUACCAAAAUCAGAGGGGAGGUCAAUGACAUAUGCAUUGGUGUCAACCCUGUGCAACACCCUGAAUAGCCCAACACUAUGAGCCUACAAUUUUUUAACGGUUCCAAAAAGAAACCGCUCUAGCUGAAUACAGAUCAUUACGUAAUUCCUAGUUUGAAAUUCCUUAGCAUAAGAAUCAGCUUGCAUCUUAUAUUGAGCAUAACAUGCAUGAAUGUGCUUGUGGACUUUCUAAUGCAACUUAUAAAUGUGUUGUGCAAAUGCAUGUGCAAACUCAGAAAUCAUAACAUGGGGUGAAAUGGAUAAGAGAUCUAGAGGUUUUCUAGCUUCAUAACCAUGCACUACCUCAAAUGGACUCAUGCCUAUAGACCUGUUGACUGAAUUAUAGGGGUGAACCUUUUUGACAAGGAGAGUGAACACCAAAAAUUUGUUGAACACUUUCCGCUCAAAUUCAGCUGGACAUCGGAUAUGAAGAUCCUUGUCCUUUGACACUUCUCUUGUUCUUGUCAGGUGGCUUGGGCGGCAAAGGAUUGAGCUUAAUCUUUUUGCCCUCGAACAUCAAAGAACAAGAAUUGGAUUGACCAGAGAUGGUGAUAUUAAGGUCGAACAACCAGAGUCUCUCUAAAAUUAAAUGUCCUACAUCCAUCGAGAUUACGUUACACCAUAUGAUGCUCUUGUAAGAAAGGAUGNNNNNNNNNNNNNNNNNNNNCUCUUGUUCUUGUCAGGUGGCUUGGGCGGCAAAGGAUUGAGCUUAAUCUUUUUGCCCUCGAACAUCAAAGAACAAGAAUUGGAUUGACCAGAGAUGGUGAUAUUAAGGUCGAACAACCAGAGUCUCUCUAAAAUUAAAUGUCCUACAUCCAUCGAGAUUACGUUACACCAUAUGAUGCUCUUGUAAGAAAGGAUGUGAAUGGGCACAAGACAUCUCUCUUUAAUACAAAUAGAAGUUGUGUCAAUCCAAGAGACCUUAUAAGAUUGUGGUUGGAGAACAGGAGUCAAAUCUAAGCGAAAGACGAUGUUGGAGGAUAUUGCAUUAAUACAACUCCCGCUAUCGAUGAUGGCCUUACAAUCUCUCUUCGCAUUUAAUAUAAGUAUGGAAAAUUGAGGUUCUUUUCCAGUCAUCAGUUUCGUCGGGUUGUGCCGAGGCGCAUCUGACUACACUCAUGGUGAACUGGUCAAACUCUCUCUGACUGUGCAAAUGAUAUAGGUGUAGUGCGGAUGCAUCCUAGGGUAUUAGGUCCUUCAUCACACUCUUCCUCAAUGUUCUGAAUGUCACCGAGGUUUGGUUCAUAGACAUGCUCCUCCAAGUUAUCUGUGUCACCUCCCUGCUCUUGCUAAGCAAUAACGAGAGAUUUGUUAGCACAUUAGGAGGCAACGUGACCAAAACCUUGGCAUUUGUAGCACUGAAUUUUGAAAUGUGGUUUGGGAAGCUUACCAAGGAUUUUUUUGUCUUUAGUGUCUCAGCUUGGGACAAGGGCAGUAGGAGAGGGUCUAGAGAUAGAGGACACCCAACAAAAGGUUUGGGCCCUGAAGAAUUAAGAUCCGUGGAAAUGCCCCGAAUGUCAGGGCGCCUCACAAACAUAGACUUGGAGACUUGCUCAUAGUUCAGUACGAAUGUAUAGACCUAGUUUAACGUGGACACCUCUCGGAGGACAAGUUCCUUCCUAAGUUUAUCAUUGAAACCUCUACGGAACCGGCUCAGGACCAUUCUCUCAUCCUCAAUCACAUUACAUCGCAUCAUGUAUUCUCAAAUUGUGCGAUGUAGUCAGUAAUUGAUCAGGUGCCUUGUCUUAAGUUAUUCCAUCAGUCAAGGAGAUCAUCUUGGUAGCUAAGGGGCAAGUAUUUUUUCUUAAGUUUUUCCUUCAUUUCUAUCCAAUCAGUUAUGGCAGGUUGACGUCUCCUAGCCAGGAGAUGCUCAGUGUUUUGCCAGAAAAGCUUAGCUCGACCGAUGAGUUUCAUUCUGGCAAACCGGACCUUCUUUUCUUCAGACAAAUUAUUCCACUCAAAGAAGUCUAUUUCGUGCAACCAGUCUGUGAAGACCUUUGGGUUAAGGCGACCAUUAAAGGUAGGGGCUUCAAUCCGAAUGCUUUUUAUCACAUCUUCAUUAUGGUCAUAAGGCUCUCUAGGUUCUACAUUAUGGCGAUAACCCUUAUCGACAUUAGGGACUGGACUCGGUCCUCUAUAGCGAGGGUAGGUUAGAGGGCUGCCUGGAACGGAAUUAGGGUCAAAGUGGCCCUGCCGCACAAAUCCUAGAUGGUCUAGGAUUUCAUCCUCGAUCUCUAGGCCUUCCAAAUGGAAGGCACUCCCUUCUUUGGAUCCCAUAAUCCUCUGAAGGGAAGCCUUAGCUGAGUCUAGCCGGGCGCAGGCCUGGGUGGACACUGUGGUCAAGUCUUGGACAAUCUUUAGCAAGGCUUCGAUGUUGGGAUUCAUAGCCAGUUGGGAUUCUAACUGGAAGACAACACGACCAGUACAAAGGUGUAUAUAAUGUGUGCAAAGGUAUGCGUGGCCCUACAAUGCUAAGACAGUGGUAAUUCCUAGGCAGACCUAAUGCAUAAAAAUGAUGCCUAAAGCGCAAUGUAUAUGCUCAAUAUAAACGGAAAGCUAAUCCGUAGCAAAUGAAAUCAAGCUUAAAAUUUUGUAAUAAAUGCAGGCAAGUAAUUGCAGUCAAAUAGUGCAAGUUUUCUGUGUGUUGCAGGGUUGCAUGGAGCCUCAAAGAACUCCCAAAGAUUCGGUAGCCCUACAAUUAAUGACAAAAAUGAGCCACUACAAGGGUUUUAGGAUUGUCUGGGGUGUAUGUGUUGAAUUCACAGCAAACUAAGUUGAUAGAGCACAAGAGUUUAUUGAUGCUGAAUUUAGACGAACAAAAAGAUUUUUCAGUAGGAAAAGAAACCUGGGCUGGGGCGACAAUCAGAGACGCAGUCGCAGCAAGUAGGCUCAUCAAAUGGCUCCAACUCGUAUCUGAUCAUAGAAACUCGACGAGCUUGAUCCCAGCAACUCGUGGGGCUUUAUCAAAGCAGCUUGGUGGGCCUAAUGGCAGCGGCCCAUUGGAUUAGAAGAGAGGUGGGGAGUGGGGUGAUCAGGCCUGAUGGGCCUGCGGGCUAGAAGAGGAGAAAGGGGGUGAUCAGGUCUGAUGGGCCUGUGGGUUGUGCGGUGCGGGCCUGAUGGGCCGCAGAUUAGAAGAAGAGACAGGAGGGGAAGAUGUAGGCAUACAGUAUGGGCCUGAUGGGCCGUGGAAUAGCAAAAGGGGGAGGGGGUGGUUUGGGAGGUGAAGUAGUGGGUUGCGGUAGGUUCAAAGCCAAACCCUUGAUUUCACAGAGGAAAAGGUCGGGUGUCGAGAGUUGUGAAGAGCUCUCAGUUCGAAUCGCAACGGGGAAGAAAGGAGCGGUGGAAAAAGAAUUGGAAGGGAAGAGGGAACUUAGCGGCGGAGCUGGACGGCGGCGAUGAAGUAGGGGAGGGCAAGGUGAGGCGGAGAGGGUGGAGGCGGAAAACGGCGGGGCUGAAGCGGCGAGAGAGGUGGCGAAGCAGGGCGGCGUUGUGGGUGGUGAUCGAGUCGCUGGGACCCUUAAAGGGGUGGCAAUGGGUUCGGACGGCGAGUGAGGGGAAAAAGAAGGCGGAGGCGGCGGUGGUGGAGAUGGCGAAGUGGAGGCGGCAAAGACGGUUGCGGGACAGCAAGGGCGGUGGCAGCGAGGGCAGGGCGGCGCUGUGUGCGACGAUGAACAGGUAUUUUUUUUGGAGGGAUCCGAUAGGAUUCAAGUUAUCGGACGCGACCCACUCCAAUAACCCACACGGGUCCACAUGCAUAACUUAAGGGUCACGUGCCCUCUUUUUUUUUCUUUUCUUUUUUCCUUUUUUUUUCCGACGGAAUAGACUCGGGUUAACGGGCACGACCGCUCCGGUAACCCAUUCCUAUUCCAGCUCCUUCAUGGAGGCUUUGAGGGGAAGGAAUUGCAGGUGGUUUCCUACUUCUGUGGCUACGGUGGUGAGGCGCGGCGACGCUUGCUAAAGGAGAAAGCAGUGACGGGCGCUCGGGAGCGGCGCGCGACGGCAGUGGCAAAGCACACGGGCGCGGUUCUUCACCGGCCGUCCCAGGCUUCCUCAUUCUAUUUCUUUUUUUGGUUUCUUCGCGACCUUCAAGAAAGAACUCACGGAGAGAUGAGUUUUGACUUGGGGAAGGAAGCAAACUUGGCAUUUUUGCAGCUGGGGAGAAGACGCCUAAUCCACUCUCACGUGAAGCAGAUCACCCACGACAGAAACAUUUUUGUUUUGUUUGCUGGGCUCUGAUACCAAUGCUGAUGCCGGACAGUAGGGGAAGGAAGAAAAAUAAGAGGAAGGGAAGAGGGAAAAGAGAGGAAGGAGAGGAAGGGAACUGGGCUUCAUACAUAUCUCUUGUUCUUGGCUUCACACCAAGGCUAAAAGAAAGAGAAUCAAUUUUUUUUAUUCAUAGCAUACCUUAAACAAUGUAUGGUCCAAACAUAUUUGUAAGACCCAGAAAAUGCAAAAAAUUCCUAAAAGAAACUAGUCUCACAAAAGACCCUCAAAAUAACGAAAUACCAAAAAUAAGCCCUAAAGACUGUCAAAUAAUGAAAUACCAAAAUAAGCCCUAAAGGCUGUCAAAUAACAAAAUACCCUAAUAAGCCCAAAUAAUAUAAAAUCACUCUAAAAUAAAAUCAAACUGGCUGGACCAUCCUCCUGCGGCGAUUGUAGAUCCGAGUGACGGGUGAUCUGGCAUUGGUGUUCGCACCAGGUGUGAGUGCAAGAGCAGAUUCAGAUGUGUGUGUGCGGGGAAGUGGGUCUCUUAAAACAUUUUCUAAUAACAAAGUGGGCUUGAGGACAAGUUUCCAAGGAGAUCCUGAAGCAGGUGUGGCACCCUAAGCAAAAGAUUCCUACUACUAAGAUUUAGUGGGCCUUAAACUAUCAAACUCAUCUUGCAAGUCAAUUUAAUAGCUUCCAAGUCAGAAAUGAUUCAAUAUUCCCCAGUCCAAUUAUUGGAUCAUUUUAUCAUUUAUUUGGCAUGCAAUCCAUUUCCUUUGAUAUGCUAUCACUAAGUUCCUGCCCUUUUAAAUGUCAAUGUCAAGGGAAUGCUAAGAUGUUGGUGGUCAAAGAUAAGAUGACAUCGGUGAAAGCUAAGAAGAUGUUGGUGAAAACUUUAAUUGUGUCCAUGAUAGAAGUCAAACAAUUAGGUUGGUAAUAAAUUGCAACGGAUGUCAUAGGAGUACAAUCAUUUUAAAUAUUCCUUAAUGGCUUCAAUAACAAGCUCAAGCUCAAUGGUGUAAGUACAUACAUAGACCUACUCUUAGAUGGCAACAUAAAUUGCAUCAUGAAGCAUGAUGUACAUAUAACAUAUAGAUAUAACUGAUAGAUACAUAUAGACGCAUGUCUGCAUACAUAUAUCCAUGGGUAUACACACUUUUAUUUAUAGCAAAAUCUAAGGUGUUUAACUUUUUCCUUGUUAAAUUAUAUUAUUGUAGUGAAAUUUCAAUAUCUGCGUAUACUUAGUAAAGCUCUUUUAAUUGACAUGACACAUACUAUUAUCCCAACUUCCUCACUCCAAAUCAAUGAGUUGUCAUUUAAACGCUAAUCCAUUAAAAAUGGAAGUAAAAAAGGAAUAUAUGUCAAACAAAUAACAGUAAUUGACGCAAAUAACAUUGCUACUAUUGAUAAACUCAUUAUGGGGAAAUACAUUCUUGAACAAAACAUUGUUAAGAACAGCAACAUUCCAAGGGAGCCAGCUUGUUGACUUGGUGAUGUCUCUAAUGGUGGAUCUCUUGACCUAAGAGACCUGGGUUCAAUCCUGCCCUCGAUGCUGAUUUUCAGCCAAGGUUCCAAUAUUCUAGUUCCCAACUAAAAUUAUAAAAAAAUUAAGAGGAAGAAAUGAGUUCCUUUAGUAUACACUAACGAACCAUUUACAUAUGCAUUUAUAAAUCAUAUUAAUUGCAUACUAUUGUAAGAGAAACAUGCAAGACUAUAUGAUUAAGAAGACCAAUGCAUUAAUGAUAUAUAUUUAUUGAACAUGAACUUGUGAAGACCAUCUAAAAAGGGAAGAAAAUUGGUACAUUGAACAUAUACAUCAACAAAUUAUACAAUGCUUAAUUUAAAAAUAAAUAUUCCUUAACUCAUUUAUAUAAAAUUACAAUUUGCUACUUUUAGAAUGUUGCUUUUGAAAUAAAAUGGCACCCAUCUAUCUUGAAGGAAAUGUUCUUUCUUAAUCCACCCAAUUUCAAACUCGGCACAACUAAUUAAAUCUAGCAUGAUAUGGCCAAACAUUCCUAUAUCAAAUUGACCCACCUUAGUCGCCUUUUAAUAAUUUUAAAAAAAAAGAAAAGAGAAAAUAUCCGUGAGCUCUAGAUUUCUCUGUUCCCCCAUCAACCCUAUUAGGAUAGAAGAAAAUCCAAGCCCAUGUGAUUAAAAAAAUUAAUAGCGAAAGACAACAUGCCAUGACCUCAACACAAAAAUCACAAGAUCAAGAAUAGCCUCAAUCCCAAGUUCUUUGAAAUCCGAUGGCAAGAAAGAGUGAGAGAAUUAUGGAAGUACCCCAUAGUGAAUUGGGAUCCCAAUAUUGGGACCCAUGCCUUUCUCUCAAGUGCAUAAUGCUUUAAAGUUCUCUUAGUUCUUGGGAACCACCCCAGUGAAGAGAUCUCCUACAAUCCUCUCCAUCUCCCCUUCAUGCUAAUGUCUACAUAGCACCCAAGGCUUGCCACACACUUCCCAUUAGGUCCAUCCAAUUCCCCUCUCCCCAACAAGAAGACAAACUAAAAGAAAGAAAUUAAAGAACCUAAGGAAUCAUAUUACCUCUUUUCAAGCUCUCUAGGAACCCCCUUAACAGUACUGCUUUUUACUCAAACCAAAGUAUUAUGCCAUGAGGGGAGACUGAUUUGGGAAAUGUUAUGAGCACGUAACAGGAAACAAUGGUUAAGAAAAAUUCCUAACUCAAUAAACAAGAAACGUGAUCUUAAACAAGAAUAUUUAAAGAGAAUAUAUAUAUAUAUAUGUAUAUAUAUGCAAAAUACGAAAAAUCUAAUAAAAACAACAAAAAGAACUAGUUUUUAUUGGAUUCUCAUUAGUUUUUAUAAAUACGGGUUGAUUUACUAGCAAUCAUAAAUUAGAUAUAUAGAAAUCUCUCCCCCUUAUGACAUACCAUGAUAAGAUUGAUUUUAUCAAAUCUAUCAAAGAGAUUAUUUAAAUUCCUUAUCCACUCAAAAUGCUAGUUCUAUUUUUCUUUCCCUUAUUUAUUCUCACAAAGUUUUCUAGACACUUGCUAUGUGCUUUAGAGCACAUUUCCCUACAAAAUAAGAUUUAUUUGUGGAUUUGAUUUCCCAGGAAACUCCAAGGGAAGUGGGAAACUCAUUUCCCAAUGAAUAUGAUCCAAAGCACCCCUCUUUGAUGACAAAGUAAGCUAUUGAGUUAAGGCUAUUGCAUGGAGCUAUUGCAAUUCUCUGGAACUUUUAUUUUAGUCUAUUGACAUGAUUUUGUGUCUAUAUAUAAGAUGUGAUGAACUAAUGUUAGAUGCCCUUCUUGCUAAGUUUCUUUAAUACUUUAAUGGUGUGAUGAGUCGAUGAAGGGAGUGCUUUGGCCAUGUAGCAUCAUUCUUCAUCAAAAAAUUAUCUGGUCAUGUAUUAUGGAUUAGUUUGAAAAGAAAUUGUCACUACUUAGCAUGGCAUCAUUCACUGUCAAGAUGAUGCUAGCAAAAUUAACUUAUAAGUUGUUAGCUAAUGUGUUGUUACAGUAAAAAGAAAUAUUGAAAUUGCAUGAGCAAGCUAUUAUUAACCAAUAUGGGAUAUCACCAACUUCAUGUUUGCUGGAUCAACUACAUAUCCAAGUUCAUCUAUUUUAAGUUGAUUUAGUUGUGUUUCUACAUGGCUUAACCUCUCUCAUUUACCCAAAAAAACAACUGCUAUAUGCAAUAAAAUUUCAUUACAAGUUAAAAAAAAAUUUAAAUCGCUUAAGGUGGAUUUUCAUGGUAUAAGGCAUUCAAUAAUUCAAAUAAAUCGACACAAGUUGCUUAUUAUAUAAAAAAAUGAUCUUCUUUUAAAAUGCCUACCUCCUUGAUUGUCUUGGUUAAAUUUCAAGGGAAAAGGUCGAUGUUUUAAAAGACAAAGUGAGCCCAAUGUGGGACCAUUAGGAACAAAAAAGAGUUUUAUAGUUUAUCAAAUUCAUUUGCCAAGUCAAGUAAACAGCUUUCUAAAUCAUAGCCACCGACUCAAUGUGCUCCCCAACAUCAGAACUCAUCUUGAAUAUGAAUGAGGGAAUAGCUUUGAUAUUCUAAUUAUUCAUGUGGUUCAUUUGCCAUGUUCUAUCUUAAAGAAUCUUCCCUUUUAAACGUCAAUAUCAAGGGAAUGUAGCAUAAGCUUAAUGUAAACUUCAGUGCCGAGCCCACUCUAUAAAGUCAAACACUCAAGUUGUUAUCACAAAAUGUCGAACAAGAGAAAAUAGAAUGGUCAUCACUUUGGAUAUUCUUUAAAGAUUGGAAUUCAUAUGAAGCAUGGUGCAUACACAAAAAUAAUCCAAGUUACUUGCAUUAACACUUUUCCAUAUUUCCACUUUUCUUAUUAUAGAAAAAGCAUGCUUAUAAAUCAACAUUUAGUAUUGAUCCUGUUAUCCACAUGAGACACCAAUUAUCCAAACUUGCAUUGUCCAUAUAAAUGACGUCCUUCAUGUUUUCCUUUUUAGACCAUUAGAAAUUAAAAAAAAUAUAAGAAGAAGGGUAAACCUAAAGUUUCUCAAAAUAUUAUCUUCAUUUACUUAACUGGAAAUGAAACCUUAAUUUCACAAACAUAACUUUUUCUAUUGUAUUCAAAUAAAUAGCAGCAUUCAUCUUGACUAUCACAAAAGCCAUACACUUGAGAACAAAAUAAUUAUUAUUAUUAAGUAAAACAGGGGUGAUGUUCACCAUCAUUUCAUCGAGGAUUUGAAAUGGUGAGAACAAAUAGUUAUUAUUAAUCAAAUAACUAUUACCCAGCAAAAUAACAUCACUACUAAAGACAAGUUCCAUAUGUGCAAAACUAGUUUACUUUCAAAAACUAUCGUCAGGAACAGCUGCAUUCCUCUUGAUACAAACCACAUCAGAAGUUACAUAUGUAUAAAACACACAGUAGUUGAAUACCUCUUGAAAGCAAAACUAUACUGCUACUUAAAAAAGAAGCCCAGUGCCUUUAAUAAUGACUCAUUUUUUUUAAUUUAAACCUCCUCAAGAACAUACGGAGUAGGAAGAAAACAGUAAGAUGCUAACAAGAAUGUCUCCAUUUAAAAUUAAAGAAGAAAUUGCCUUUUUAAUUGCUUUACCAUCAAAUUACGAUUCUGCUUGUUUGGGAUGUUGACUUCGAAAGAACAAAGAUAGCCAGCGUAUCUUAAAAAGAAAGUCUUUUUUUUUCUUUCUUCCCGCAUCCAAACCAUCAAACUUCUAACUCGAGCCGACUCAAGAUGCAAGUCAGAUCAGUAGAAAAUUGACUGUUCCAGUAUCUAUAAUCUAUAUAGCACGAGGCAUCUAAAGAUUCCUAUUCUGAGUCAACUCACUUGACUCGCUUUCCAAAUAAUUGAACCCAAAAAAAACAAGCAACAACAACAAAAUACUCAUAACCAUUGAAUAUACCUCUACUCCUCCCCAGACAACCACAGGAAGGAACACCACCAAGACGAAGCGGACAAGAACACAAGACCAAAAACCAAAAAGACCCCCAUACCCCCAAAAACCACAACAAGACGCCACCUUCCCCCCCCCCGAUAUUUCUCCAACUCCAAGGGCAAACAAAGAAAACCAAUAGAAUCAGCUAGAAAGACAGCGAAAGGAAGUACCUUGUAGUGGAGCGGCACGCCGGUGUUGGGCCCAAUGCCCUUCUCCCCGGUGCACAGCGCCCUGAAGUUCUCCGCCGUCCGCGGCGCCACUCCGGCGUAGAGCUCCACCACGAUCCUCCCUUCCAUCUCCCCUCCGAUGCUGACAUCCAUGUAGCACCGCGGAUUCGCCGUUUUCUUCGCCUCCCCUCCCUCCAUCUCUCUCUAUCUCUCUCUCUGAGGGAAGAGCGCACUCAAAACCCUUUUGUUUCUCUUGCUCAGAAACCCUAAUCCUUCUUUCCUCGUCUCGGAGCUCCCUCUGGCGGCCUCCUCCGGAGAAGCGCUUUAUAUUCAAAUCAAAAACUGCCCCCUCUUUAAUGCCCAGGGUGGGCUAAUAAUAUAUUAACAUUAAUAAAAAUUAGCUUUUAUUUUUUUCUUUUAUUUAAUGCUUGAUUGAGUGGGGAUGAUGGGGGUCCCUUGGAUGGGUACACUACACCCAAGAGCAGGGGUAGCUUGUGACUUUUUUGCCUGGCUUCGGGGCUUAUAAAUGGGUGCAUGAAACAUGGUGCAACUCUCUGGGUUCUGGAACCAUCCUUGCACUUAUUACAUUAUUAUUUGCCGGGUUGCUCCUCUCUGAGAUGGGUCCGAUAAUUUUUUUUCUUGGCUAGAUGUUGUGACAAAUUUAUGUCGUCUGUUCUCCGUGUGUGAGGUUGUUAAUUGGGUGCAAUGUCGGUGAACGGGUGUCUGGGCUCUUUUUGGUAUGUGAGAGAGAGAAAGUGUGUGUGUGUGUGUGCGUGUGUGAGAGAGAGAGAGAAGGGGGGGGUGGGGGCAUUUUGAUGCCUAAAGUUGCGUAGGUUGCAUUUUGUUUGGGAAGUUGGCAUGCAGAGAAAAUGUGACAUUUGACUGGUGUUAUUGCUGGAAAUUUAAUUGGAUUGGUUUGACAAGAAAUAUUUCACCAUGGCAUAAGAUGUCAUUCUUCUAUGCUACAUGGUAAGAGAUGGAGGGAAGACCUACUAAAUGCUAAAUGGAAUUACCAAGGUCUAAUUUUCUAACUCUGUACAUUGUUUAGCUGGAGGAGAGGAAUGAUUGCUAGGUUAAAGAUGAUAAUGGCAAUAUCAAUUUGUUGAUUAGGUUUGUCGAAUGAUGUUUUAAGCUGAAAUAAGAAAGUACGGUUUUAAGUGCUUGAACGAUUCAUCCUUUAAAACUUCUCUUUAACAGGCUUUCCACUGGGUUAUCCUGUUUCAAUGAGUGGCGUCCCCUCCUUACAAUAUUGUUAAGGUUAAUUUGAUGGAUCCAUUCAUGGCAAUAAAAUAGGUGCCGAAUUUAUUAUGGGAGACUACAUGGGGUCAAACUCUUUGUGCCGCUUCUCGAAUUAUUCAUACUUCAUUUGUGCCAAUGGCAGCACCUAAGGCAACUUAGGUAGGGCUAAUGAUGGUAGUUUAUAAGUUAAAUGCUCAGAAUUUGGAUAAAAGGGGAUUCAUCUACCCUUACAUUGUUGAACCUAAGGUUAAAAGAAUCCACAAAUUGGGUUUCCAGCCCAAUGGUUUGAAUCCAUCCUAUUUGGAAGAGGUUUCAUGUUUAAAACUUGGGAGGAAUUUGUUGGAUCAUUCUAACCAAUUGUUUUAAAUGAUUAGUAAUACUUCCACCAUUACUCUCAAAUUGGGGGAAAAAAAAACCAAACAAAACAAAAGAAGACGUCUUAAGAAAAUAGGAUAAAGAACUAUAUUGCCUCUUGGAGGUGACAUGCAAUAAACCACGCACCACCACCAACCUUGGACAUAGUGGAUAGCUUUAAUCGCAAAACCAACAUUUCAAUCAAAAAUUUCAACCGUGGGGUCAUUGGGUAACCGGCAUAAUCUUCUUUGGAUGAGACGGCACACCACCCCUCAGCCUCACAUCUUGGGCUCCAGCUGUUUGCCACUCACGUCUUGGUAUACCAUUCAAGCAAAACUAUGCUGCCUUUCUUGAGGCCAUGGCGAGUAACCAAGCCUCAGUAUACAUGAUGGAUAGAUGGAGUAUAUGCAAUAUUGUCUGUUAACUUGUUAGAGUUUCGACGACAAAAAAUUCUUAGCAUGUCGACAAAAAAGAAAAUGAUAGAUGUAUUAUGAUAGAGUCAUAGAGAACGUCAAGCACUAAAAACCAAUUCAAAUAAUAUUUACUUUUGUUCUUUUAAGUUAUCUACUAAACAGUCAAAUUUAUGAAAACGCCAUUUUUAUAUUAUAGUUUAGAAAAAAGAGAAUGUAACUAUAAGUUUUUUAAAAAUUUAUGCUGCCCAAUCAAGGUAUUGAUUGUCUUUCUGGGUUUGAAGAGGACCUAUUCAGAAAGGAACUGUUGAAAUCACCCCUCCACAGAAGCCACACCUCCAAAUAAAAUGCCUGGUCAGGUCACCUUUCAAGGAUAAAACAAUGCCACUAGUGAUCAGAGAGGUCGGACCCAAAAGUUAGGAGGCUCAUGCUAGAAUCUUCCAGGUUUUAUUUUUUUUUUGUUUUGGUGAAAAAAAUAGGAGAGAAGGGGGAGGGGGAGGGGGAGGAGGAGAACCCACCCGCGUAGCAGCCCCCACUGGGCCUUCCUUCCACCAAGGAAUGUUCGAUGCGGAUCGCAAGUUUCCGCGUGCCCUCCCCAACCCGUGGAAAACCCUACUAGACCAUCUACGUAUGAGUACGUCACUCCAGCGCCACCUCAAUACUGAUGGAAGAAAAGCAUAUCCAUACAGAACCAUCCGAGCGUGAGACAUGCGGUCCCCUGAUUUAAUCGACGCCCGCGCGUUUCGAACCCGAACAACUCAGGUGGAGUCCAAGCCCCCUUCCAAGUUUCUUUAGUGUAACAACCAAACCCCUCCCCACUUUUUCACCAAAAAAAAAGAAAUAAAAUAAAAUAUAGGAUUAGGGCUGCAAAUGAGUCGGAUCGACCUGUGACCCGACCUGCGUAAGACCCGAUCCGACCCGAAUUUAGGACCCGUGGGGCCAGGUCGGGUCCUAAAUUUGGACCCGUUCUAUUUUUCGGAUCGGGUCGGAUCCACCCAAUCUCGACUUGGACCCGAACCUGAACCAACCCAUUUUUUUUGAGGUCGGAUUUUUUUUUUAGAUGUUCUUAGGACCGACUUGUUGAAUUUAGAAAAUGUUGAAUUUGAACAUUUGAAUAUAGCUUAUCCAAUAAAAUGUCUAUUUCUUUUUUCAAAAAGAAUUAGAGCAAUAAUUGCUUGAUGUUAUUUACUAUUAUAUAGUGAAACUUUGAAUAUAAAAAUACAUAGACCCGGUCCCUGACCCGCUCGACCCGAACGAACCAUCGGGUCAAAAUUUGUAGGCUUGGACCCAACCCGAUUUCAAUCGGAUUGGGUCCGGGUUCAAAAUUAGGAUCCGAACAAAACAUCGGGUCGGAUCGGGGUCACUCAGGACCCGUCCCAACCCGACCCAUUUGUAGCCUAUAUAGGAUGCUAGAAUACUAAAAACUUGCAGGAACUUUAUUUUUCCUACCUGUUGGGAAUAAUAGAACUUACAUUUCAUAUUUUGUCUACUUAACUUGAGUUUGCCCCUCAAUCCCGCAGCAAAAAGUAGCGUUACAUAUCCAAUAAAUUAUCUAUAAGAAGGCCACCUACAUUAUCUGAAUAUCAAAGCAUCAGGAUGCAGUAGAGCCUAGCCACUUUAUGCCUAUCAGCCUGUGUACCACUCUGUACAAGAUUAUGGCAAAGAUCAUGGUAGGCAGGAUGAAGUCGUUGUUGCCAGAUAUUAUCUUCCAGGAGCAGGAGGCAUUUGUGGGGGGCAGGUAUAUUUCUGAUAAUGUCAUGCUAGCUCAAGAGGAGAUAUGGGACUUAUGAUAGGCCCCAAAGAGGCGGAGUCUGAUGGCAGUCAAGCUGGACAUGAAAAGGGCUUAUGAUAGGAUCCGGUAGAGCUUCCUCAGGCAAGCAAUGGAGAGCUUUGGCUUCCAUGAGAUCUAGAUAGACUGGGUUUUAGGCUGUGUAUGGGGUCGAGCUUUUCUAUCCUGAUCAACGGUUCGCCGUCACCUUUCUUCCGGUCCACCAUGUGGCUUCAACAGAGUUGUCCCUUAUCCCCUGUACUUAUUUAUUAUUUACUCUGAUGCACUUUCUCAUGCCUUGCGGGCAGCUUGUCAGAAUCAGGAGCUAAAAGCCUAUGUUCUAGCCCCCGAUGCCCGACCAAUCUCUCACCUCUUGUUUGCAGAUGAUUGCCUCCAAUUGGCCAGGGCGAGAGUGAGGGAUGCGCGGGCCCUCAAGGGUGUGCUGGCGGCUUAUUGCAAGGCUUCAGAGUAGAGAGUGAAUCUUCAGAAAUCGACCAUCUCCUUCAGCCUGAGUACGGAGUUGAGGGUGAGACAGAAGAUCAGGAAGAUUCUGGAGAUACGGGAGCAGAAAGGCCGUGGAGAUACCUAGGGGUGCCUAUCACAGAAAGGAAGCUACGGGUGUCAGAGUGCUUAGGGUUGGUGCAGCGAGUCUAAGACAUGCUAGAGGGCUGGAGGGCAUCAUCUCUUUCUAUAACGGGCAGGUUGACGCUAGUCAGGUCGGUAUUGUGCUUUAUGCCAGUCUACCUCAUGUCCAAUACUGUUGUCCAUAAGGUAGUGAUGAUGGAAGUCGAGCGGCUUCUUCGAAACUUCUUGUAGGGUUUGCACGGAGAUAGCCAUAGGGUGCACUUAGUGGCAUGGGAGAGAGUUUGCAAGCCGAUUCGCGGGGGAGGAUUGGGAGUGCAAUCUCUCUUGAAGAGGCGAGAGGCACUCAUUGCUCGCCAUGCGGUGAGGUUUAUUCUUGAGCCGCAGGGCUUCUGAAGUCUGGUCAUGGUGACUAGAUACGGUCGAGUAAGGGCUGAUGGGGAGGCUCCGAGUAGACAAAGAUGCUCCUACAUGUGGCAGGAGAUUUACAGAUAUAUGCCUACUGCCUUGGCGAAUUCCAAAUGGCUGAUCGACGAUGGGCAGAGCGUGGAUGUGGUGGACCCGUAGGUGGACUCGCUUCCUUUGAGACUCUGGCUGACUAUGGUCAACGUCGAGGCAGUAGACGGACUCCGAGUCUACGAUGUUCUUAGCCCAGAGGGGGCGGAGUAGGACGUCGACAAGAUUGGUCAGCUAUUUGGAAAGUAGAUUGCAAAGCGUGUUCGAUCGCUUCUGAUUUCAGAGUGUGCUGGCCUGGAUGUGAGGGUCUGGAGCACGUCAUGCAGAGCCAGUAUUUAGGAUGGGAGAUGUCUUCCGAGCCCUCCAACAUGAGCACAUGCCGGGGAUGGAUUUGUGCUUGGAUCUAGAGCUUCUAACUCUACUUGAGGAUAGCAUUAUUUUCUGUGGAAGGUGGUUUGGGAGUGCCUUCCACCGAGAUUAGUACUGAGUAGAAAAGGACUAAGCAUUCAAUUCCAGUAUCCGGACUACCGAGUGGACGAGACGGUGGCUCAUGUCCUGUUCCAGUAUGUGUGGGCUAGAGGGGUUUGGAGGCUCACCAAGGUCCCGCAGAAUCCCUAGAGCCGGAUGAGGCCUUUCCUACAAGCGAUCCGUCGAUGAUCCGAUGCCCCUAGAUGCGCCGGGUGGCCACUAGAGCGACCUACACAGCUGGCCAGAUAUGGUUGGUAAGGAACGCACGGACUUUUGGCGAAAGCAAUCCGUCUCCGAGGUUUGUCGUGGAGUGCGCCCAGGUACAGAUAGCAGAGAUCAUUCAUGCAAGCUUAGCACAUGGGUUUUUGAUAGCUCGAGACACUUGGGGUCUCCAUUCUGCUCAAGCAGUGCUUUGUAUAAUGUUUUCACCUAGGAGCCCCCACCCUCGAGCUUCUUCAAGAUUAACUUUGAUGGUUCCGUGCUAGAUGGCGGUAGGAGAGGAGGUGCUGGAUUUGUCAUCGGAGCCCGAACUUUAGGGUGGUGCCGCUAGUGGCUGCCAGAUCUUCGAUACCUCAAUUUCUAGGCGGCUUGGGCCGGCCCGAGUCAUGCGCGGCGAGUGCUACAAGCCAACUCGAUUAUAUUGGAGGGCGACUCAACCAUCGUGAUCAACUGAAUCUAGGAUGGCCCGAGUAACGGUCGAAGGGGACACCCCUGCUUUGGGAUAUUUGGGCGAUGGUGAGUGAUAAGAUGGCCUUUCAGGCUAAGCAUGUCUUCAGAGAGGCCAAUAGAGCUGCGGACUGAGUGGCUUCUUAUAUGAUCUGCCACUCCGGAGGCACCUUAUGGACUGGAGAGGUAGAGUUGCCUAAAGCACUCUGAGACUUGUUUUCAAAUUUUGUUGGGUGUAUCCGUACUCACAAUAUAUAAAACACCCGCUUUAGCAAAAAAAAAUAUCCGCAGAAACUGUUUUCCAUCCUCUAAUGUCGGAUUAUUGAAAAAUGAAAACGAAACUACUCGUAUAUGAUGUGAUAUAUGUUUAUAGAGCAGCCAGUACCGCUGCGGAUUGAAUAAUGACAUAUAUAGCUAAUCAUACAGAAACUACGUUGUCGACUACUUUGACUGCUCUUCUUUCGAAAUUUUUGUAUAUUUUAUUUUCUGAUUCUCACAAUUGUACUUAUACUAAGUUCAUUUAAUAAAUCUGACUUACCAAAAAAGAAAAAAAGAAAGAUAGGGUUGCAAAAGAAUCAUUUAUCUAUCGGUCUGAAGGAUUUCCUUGCAUAAAUACAAGAUUUUAUGCCCCGAUGAAAUGAAAACAUCAUUAAUUUUUCCACGUGUUACCUACUUUAUUAAUGGACCUUUUAAAUCAUCAUACAUUGUCUUAUAAGUGAAUUAAGUGAAGCCUCCGGUUACAUAUCUUCUUUCAUUGAGAUAGAGGUUGUCCAUAUUUUUUUUAUUUUCUUGAGUGAAUAGAGGUUGUCCGUUCUCGUCCAUUCAUGCUUUGAAUUCGAAUAUUGGGACUAGGGUAGUUCAUCUCCCAUCCUUUAUCUUCAAUGCAUCUGUCUGUUAGUUACACUGUUUUCCUUGUCAAGUAAUGUCAUGUCUCUCUCUCUCUCUUUUUAUAUAUAUAUUUUGCAAGUGAAGAUAAUUUUAUUUAAUAAGGUAUAAAGGGAUACAAUCCAGCAAACUGGCACCAGAAAGCCAGUGGAUCUUGGCUAUGAAACCAAGUGGCACGAUAUACACAAAAUAAAUGGAGGCAAACAUGACCAAAACCCACACAAGCUGACAAUAGUCUCUCUUUUCCUCCACUGGUGGCCGUCCUUUAAUGCUUGGGAUGUUUCAUCUCCUCAUACGUUUCCUUGUAUUAUUUCAGACAUCGCUUGUCACUUGUCAGAUCCCAACUCUUACCAUGAACAUAACCUCCAAAUCAAGAAGCCCCCGUCACCAUUGUUUUUGUAAUCACAAAACAGCACUUCAGAAAUCUAAGGCACCAGCCCUUUGUUAAAGGUGGCCAAAUCUCUAGGAAACAAUGCCUGCAACGGAAGGUUACCUGGCAUCAUGACUAAAUUGUCGUUGCUGACACCAUGAUUAGAACACUACUUUAGUGCCUCUGCCUUUAUAACAAAGUCCACCGACCAGUUUUUAGAGACCAUUCUAGCUACCAGGCCUGUAACAUGAUCAUACUGUUUACUUUACAAGCCCCAGAGAGGCCCUCAACUUGCAGCCUUCGCAGUCACAAAACAGGGACUGCAUUUGUAAGGCAUUGUCUGAA